GGGGAUAUAGCUCAGUUGAUAGAGGGCUUGCCUUGCAUGCAUGAGUCCCUGGGUUCAAUCCCCAGCACCUCCA
rnacentral:tRNA from 1 species